UUUUGUUUCGGGUUUAUUAUUUUUAAAUUUUUAUUUUAGUGUUUUGUCGUUUAUAACCAAGUCAAAAGAGCAAAACAAGCAUGAAAUGGAGCCUCGAGGCUAAACCGAAUGGCAAAAAUAUAUUUUAUAUUUUGUUCUCUUUUUUUCCCCUUUCUUUCUUUUUUCUUAAAAAAAUAAGUUUAUAGCCAUAAAAUUAAAUUAAAAAAAUUCA
rnacentral:lncRNA from 1 species